GGUCGGAGCAGACCCUGCAAUCUCAACAGAUUGCUCUGGCUUGAAGGUUGGGUUCUCACAUAUCUGGAGGUUGUUACAACAGUUGCAGGGGGCCGUUCAGAGUCAGUACGAAGAUUGGAUAAGGCGCUAAGAUCAAGGUUUGGGAAAACUGAGCAACGGCACCGUGGACAUUUCACAUUCAGACGAAGCCACUCGUCAAUGCAUUCUACAUGGAAAUUAUGUGCACAAGGCAGGCCACGGACCUCAUUCCCUACAUGGAACUCUUCUAGGC
rnacentral:misc_RNA from 1 species